rfam:Solanum lycopersicum cultivar Heinz 1706 chromosome 6, whole genome shotgun sequence.
ACGACCUUACUUGAACAGGAUCUGUUCUAUAGGCUCGUACCACCUUAUCCUUAUAUUCUAAGGAGACAGGAUUCCAAGUCUGGUUGAUGAAGCAUGGCCAUGUGACCAGAGCGUGAUUAACAGUCAUCAUCCAUGGCUCCUAGAGUCGUGGUUGCGGUAGAUGAUAAAUCUUAGACCUGAUUUUCAGGCUUAAGAUGGUCUCAUGGUUGUCUGACAGACU